rnacentral:lncRNA from 1 species
CACCGCGGGGCGCCCGCAGACCGCUGCUCCAGCCCGGGACCCGCGCGGUGCCCGCGGCCCGGGUCUCCGAGCUGGAGGGUCGCCCCGAGAGCAGCUCUCCGACCUCCGAUUGGACUCUUGAGGGAACCGAGACCCAGUCGGGGCGACAACUUGCCCGAGGUCGCUAUGGCAGAGUCAGGAUUGGAUAACCGUACGGUCUCCGGAUCCAAGGCUGGCUCCAGAUAGUAUGCCCGUAAAUCCUCCCAGAAGGAUGCGCUAUUUUAUUUAAUUUUAUUUUGCAUUCAGUAGUUUUCAAAGUUUUAUUUUAUAAAGAGAAUAUAUGGUUUAAAAUGUAGAUUUUACAUAUACAUCUAAGGAUGAAAAGAGGGUUACCCUACCACCUUGUAUCCCCAUCCUCCAACUCGGCUUCCAGAGGCCACUCUUGCUAUCGGGUUUUUGUAUAUCUUUUCAGAAAUUUUCUCUAUGCCUAUAAAAGUACAUGUGCCUAAAAAAGCCCCUUCCUUUAAAACACACACACUCUGUUUCUCUCUCACACACACAGAGUAGCGUGCCAUACACAUUAGUCUGCACUUGGUUUUUGCACUUACAGUGUUUCACAGUUUCCCCACCUCUUGUCAUCUGUGAAACUGGGUUUCUUAUACAAUCAAUGGGAGCAUAGUUCAUUGGCUCUGUGAGUGUGUUUCUUAAUGCUGCAUAAAGUCAUGGUACAUCUCCGUCCACAGUGACUUUGUUGUGAUGAGAUAUGGUGAUAUAUUUUGGAGUUCAUACAGAGUGGCCUUUCCACAGGGUUUAGUUGCAGUUAUUUAACCACUUAUUUUCCAUCCUUUGGUUAAUACGAAUAAUGCUUUGAUGAAGUCUUGGUGCACAAGGGUCUGUGAAAAGUCAUUAAACAUGCAUGCACAGAAAUUUGUUAAACAUGCAUGUGUGCACACACGCAUCUCAACUGGGUGUGUAUGUCACUCUUCAGAUUGACCCUCAUUGUAUUUAUCCUUUAAAAUAAAAAUUUAAUUGACACAUUGUAAUUCUACAUAUUUACGGAACACAAUUUGAUUCCCCCUUAGAACUGCUUUUGCUGUGUCCCAUUGGUUUUGAUACAAUGUGUUUCCACUCUUAUUUUUCCUCAAUAAAUUUUAAAAUUCCCUCUUUAAUUUCUUCAUUGACCUAGUGGUUAUUUGGGAGCAUGUUGUUUAAUUUCCAUACAUUUGUACUUCUGUUGUAGUGUUCCUUCUGUUAUUGAUUUCUAGUUUUUAUACCAUUGUGGUCAAUAAAAAAAUUCUUGAAAUGAUUUCAGCAUCUUGCAUUUGUUAAGACCUAUUCUGUGGCCUAAUACAUGAUCUAUCCUGGAGAAUGUUCCAUGUGCAGUUGAGAAGAAUGUGUAUUCUGCAGUGCUGGGUGGAAUGUUCUGUACGUCUGUUAAGUCCAUUUGGACUAUGAGCAGUUUAAGUCUGCUGUUUCUUGUUUUUUGUUUGUUUGUUGUUGUUUUUUGUUUGUUUGUUUUAUAGAGACAGGGCAUGUGCCACCGAGAUCAACUAACUUUUAAAAAUUUUUAUAGAGAAGGAGUCUUGCUAUGUUGCCCAGGCUAAUCUUGAACUCCUGGCCUCAAGUGAUCCUCCUGCAUUGGACUGCCAAAGCAUUGGGAUUAUAGGCAUAAGCCACCAUGCCUGGCCUAAGUCUAAUGUUUCUUUCAUGAUUUGCUGUCUAGAUGAUCUGUCCGUUGUUGAAAGGGGGAUGCUGAAGUACCCUACUGUUAUUGUAUUAACAAUCUGUCUCUCCUUUUAGAGCUAAUAAUAUUCAUUUAUGUUAGGGUGCUUCAUGAUAUAGUAUUCAUAAUAUUAUAUAUUCAUCAUAUAUUAGGGUGCUUCAGUGUUGAGUGUAUAUGUAUUUACAGUUGUUAAUCCACUUGUUGGAUUGAUUCCUUUGUCAUUAGAUAAUGACCUCCUUUGUUGCUUUUUAUAGUUUUUUACUUAAAAUCUAUUUUAUCUGAUAAAAUGUCUAGCUCUUUUAUCCUUUCAGGAGUAUGAGUACUCCUGCUCACUUUUGGUAUCUGUUUGCAUGAAAUAUCUUUUUCCAUUCCUUUACUUUCAGUCUAUGCUUGUCUACCAGUGAGGCUAGUCUCUUGUAGGGAGCAUAUAGUUGGGUCUUGUUUUUAAAUCCAUUCAGGAGCUCACUUUAAAUUGGAGAAUUUAAUCCAUUUAUAUUCACGGUUAUUAUUGAUAAGUAGGAUGUACUCCUGCCAUUUGAUUGUUUUCUGGCUGUUUGGUAGAUUCUUUUUUCUUCCUCUCUUACUGCUUACCUUUGGUUCAGUGGUUUU